rnacentral:misc_RNA from 1 species
AAGUCGUAACAAGGUAACCGUAGGUGAACCUGCGGUUGGAUCAUUAAAGAAAGUCUUGAAGGUUUUGACCUUUAAACACUUUAGGUUGUUUCUUUUUAACCUCUAGGGGUUAAAUUGAACACCUUUAACCUUGUGUGAAUUUGUUUAAAGUCUUUGGCAAGACUUGCUUUUCUUUAAAGCAACUUGCCUUUAGAUGUCUUAAACGUUUGAUUUACUUUAAAGAUCUAGUCUUUUUUACUAAUGUAAAAAACAACUUUUGACAACGGAUCUCUUGGCUCUC